rnacentral:rRNA from 1 species
UACGUAGGGUGCAAGCGUUAAUCGGAAUUACUGGGCGUAAAGCGUGCGCAGGCGGUUUUGUAAGACAGAUGUGAAAUGCCCGGGCUUAACCUGGGAACUGCAUUUGUGACUGCAAGGCUAGAGUGUGUCAGAGGGGGGUAGAAUUCCACGUGUAGCAGUGAAAUGCGUAGAGAUGUGGAGGAAUACCGAUGGCGAAGGCAGCCCCCUGGGAUAACACUGACGCUCAUGCACGAAAGCGUGGGGAGCAAACAGG